CUUUGGUUGACACUGGCAUGGUUCGGACGUCGCCUCUCGUGUACAGAGUCUUGGAGAAAACACGUUCGUGUUGACUAAUUGCUCAAAUAGUUACGAUCCUUGUCGUUUUAAUUGCCCAGAUGGAAAAGCUUGAUUCAUGAAAUUGCGGAGGUCGAAAUGUAUCUAUGGGUGUUUCCGAUUUCAUGGUUCAGCUGAAACAUUAUCCUUUAUACCUAGUCAGGGUACUUUGUGGUGUGAAACCCUUGUGGUCCACACUUCCAUCACCUCCAGGUCACAGUUGAACAUUGCUCAGUGAAGUCUAAUCAUUCAUGGAGGAUCUACCAAUGAAUCGUUGUGUGGCAAGUAAUAUUUUUCAAAUAUGUUACUGAUGAAUGCCAAAUGACACAAACCUUGCAUCACACUUGGUUUUGACAUCUCUCAUCUUGAGAAAUAACUACUGCACACUUCUCUUAACACAGAUUUGUUUGAAAGUCAUUACUGGUUAGUUUUAUAACUAAAAUGUGGCAGUCCGAUUCUAUGGUUACGGUUUGUCAAAUUGUACCACAUAUGGGGAAAAACAUGAUGAUAAUGCUGCUGUUCGGGAAUUCCUACCAUUGGAGUUUGCAGGCCACCAACAACUGUCUCCUAUAGUUCGUGAUGCGAUGACAUUAGCUUUCACAGAAGAUGUGGAUCGUGGAAGCUUUCCAGACCUUAAAUCUGAAAGUAUUGAUGAAUAGAGAUAUUGAGUUUUAGGACAAUAUCAAUAACAGUGAAACUAUGAAUCAGCAAGCAAAAGCAUCACCAUCAAAUCCGAGCUACGCAACAUUUGAAUCCGCCGCCCAUCCACAUGGAGUUUGGAAGGACGCCGCGUUUUGACACUAAUUGCUACAGCCAGCAACCGUAUGAACGAGAUCCGAGUGUGACUGCAUUCAACUUGAUGUAAAGUGCAUUAUUGUGGACAGUGGGCUGUGACAGAAAACAAACGAAGCAUUGCCGUAAAAGAAAUGGUAUGGAAAAAAUUACUUAGACUCACAAAUCCUUGUUAAAUAUGGCAGAUUUUUUCUGUUAGCUUGUCCUUUUUGUACAAGUUAAAAAAUUUCUGAAAAUGUUCUGUUUUUUUGUUGUUUGACAAAUGCACAAUUUCAU